rnacentral:rRNA from 1 species
ACGGGUGAGUAAUGUAUCGGAACGUGCCUAGUAGCGGGGGAUAACUACGCGAAAGCGUAGCUAAUACCGCAUACGCCCUACGGGGGAAAGCAGGGGAUCAUAAGACCUUGCACUAUUAGAGCGGCCGAUAUCGGAUUAGCUAGUUGGUGGGGUAACGGCUCACCAAGGCGACGAUCCGUAGCUGGUUUGAGAGGACGACCAGCCACACUGGGACUGAGACACGGCCCAGACUCCUACGGGAGGCAGCAGUGGGGAAUUUUGGACAAUGGGGGAAACCCUGAUCCAGCCAUCCCGCGUGUGCGAUGAAGGCCUUCGGGUUGUAAAGCACUUUUGGCAGGAAAGAAACGUCAUGGGUUAAUACCCCGUGAAACUGACGGUACCUGCAGAAUAAGCACCGGCUAACUACGUGCCAGCAGCCGCGGUAAUACGUAGGGUGCAAGCGUUAAUCGGAAUUACUGGGCGUAAAGCGUGCGCAGGCGGUUCGGAAAGAAAGAUGUGAAAUCCCAGAGCUUAACUUUGGAACUGCAUUUUUAACUACCGGGCUAGAGUGUGUCAGAGGGAGGUGGAAUUCCGCGU